GUUACUGAACAUCUAUAUUGAUGCCUUUUUGUUUGUUUUACAGGUGACAGGAUAUUUAACUAGCAUUGCACAACAGUUAUCUGUCUUAGAAGGAAGAAACUGUAUGGGAAAACUUUUAUGUGAUUUACAACAUCAGAUUAUGAUUAUGGUUAGUACAUUCUAUCUUAUAUAAUUUAAUGUUAGAGUGAAUCUUCAUACAGGAUUAUCAAUUUAUGUAAUGUUUAUUUGUUGACCUGUUUAGUAUAAUCCUUCAUCUAAUAUUUAAAAAAAAGAGCUUUGAAAUGAAUAAAAAUUAUAAAGUGUCUUUCUUCUAUUUAGAUAUCCAAGAGUGUCCUAAGUCAUUAUACAUAUUAUAAAGUGUUUUUGUCGAGCCUUCGACUUUUGUUGAAAAAUUAUCUUAAGAUAGUAUCCAGAAGUAAAUUUUGUAAAAAAAAUCAAUUUAUUCCGUAUUUUACUUAAUGGACUUAAUCUUUCUGCAAGGAAACAUUACAUUCACUCUGUGGUUAAAGAUUUUAAAAUUUUAAUAUCUUUCUUAAACUAUUCUGUAUUUGUACCAAACUUGGACAGAAGUUUGUUUAUGAUAAAAAGGUAGCAUCUAGAAGGAAAUUUUGUUAAAAUUUUGUACCUGUUUUUCAGGAUUUUACUUAUAAAUAGACUUAGUUUUACUUCCAGUUAACAUAACAUAGUUUGCAUUUAAAGUUUUUAAAACAUUUAUUAGAUUCAUAAACUAUCCUGGAUUUUUACCAAACUUGGAAAAAAGCUUCUUUAAAUCAAGAGGAAUACAUUUAAUUAUUUUUUACCUCAUUUUUGUUGAGCCUGCGAUUAACAGCAAAAGUAGGCGAGACACCUUACAAAUUAUUUUAGCAUUUAGACAUUGAAGAGUGAGUUUUUAAUUUGUAUAUGCAUUUUAUAUUCAUAUAAUUCAAAUAGUACAUACACUGGUGCACUGUGGAGUUCAACAUCAAGUAGCCACAGUGUAUGUGUCUGUUGAUUGAUUGAAUUUUGAACAGCUCUAUUAUUAUAGCUGAUACAUAAGUUCCAAGAGAUAUAAGAACUUUAUAGCAUUGACUAUCUCAAGGUAUCCAACACUUAAAUUAGAAAAUAACCUUGGUGUGAAUGCCUUCAAAAUAUUCCUAGAGUUGUCUUUUAAUGUAAAAUAUACAGAAUAAGGAUUUUGUCAAAAACAAUGAUUAUUUGAAUCAGAUGGUCAACUGUAACUUCAUCAUGUUGUUCCAUAUUUUUUUCUUUAUUUUUUCCCUUUUUAAUUUGAAUGAAAAAUUGCAAUGUAUAAAGAAGAUGUAACAAAAUUUCUGUCUUUUCAGUGUCCCCUCACCAAACAGAUGAUACUGAACAUCCUAGGAAGUAUUUUAUUAGUACCUGUUACCAUGGAAACAUUUCCAUCCAUGUAUGAAAUACUGAACGAAGCUUUACUGAACCAUGUCAAUACAGUGUUUGACAUUAUACCAGUGUUCUUAAACUGUUCUAAACAUAUCCUUUAUAUGAAUCUAAUUAAUGAUAGUCAUGCACCAUUGAAUGGUACAUCCACUUGCUCAAGAAUUUAUAUAACUGAUGAGGUAUCUGGUCCCAUUUGGUAAGUCACAUGGAUAAUAUGAUUCUUUCCUGUCUUUGGAUUGCACACAUAUUUCCUAUCUCUGAUAUCUUUUGUUUAAAAUCAAAAAUAAAAACAAGUCAACAGUUUACUGUUUCUGGCAGGGUUUUACAGAAUUAAUUUCUCACUAUUUAAAAAAAAAUUAUUUUAGCUUAUAUAUAAAUAUAUAUAGUGAAGGGGAGAUAAUAUAAAUAUAUAUAUUGAAGGCGAGAUAACAACUUUAUCAAUCCAAAUUAGAUAGUAAUAUGAAUAUAGUAAUGUAAGAAUUGUUUUGUUUUUGUGCAGCUUGUUAUUUUAUAUAAUAAUUAGUAAAUAAACUGAAUAAAUUGUAGGCAAAUAUUUCCAUCAAAUUAUAAACUUACACUUUAUACAAGUAGACAAUUCCAGCAACUUAUUUAUUCAUAUUAUCAUAGGGUGAAUUUAGACAGGGUGCAGGAGGUUAGCAUCCCCUCCAAUAAAAUAAGAACAAAACCAUUAACUGACAAAAAACAUAUGAAAAAUGUUCAAGAGGUAUACUCCCAUAUAAAUUUUAAAUUCAGGAUCUGUGUUUGUACUCAUGUAUAUUAUAAAACGAUAACAAAGACCAAAAGUUUUAUUUUACUUUUAUAGUGAAAGACAACUGUGAAUACCUUAAGGUAUCCACCCACUAUUACCCAACCGCAAGAUAACCACUUCAGGUGUUGGUUCACCUUGUUCAAAUUCAUGUAUAUUAUGUAAGAGUUUGGCGAUCUUUUUUGAGCGAGGAUACAUAGUGUAUGAAUAUGCAUUUAUAUUAAGUAGAAUAUUGUAUCAUCCAUCUCAACUGUUAAUGCACUAUUCAUCCUAUUGCUGAUGAUAAUCAACUUAAAUCAGUAGAAAAGUACUUUUUGUAUAAUUUAUAGAAAAUGUACAUUAGUUUUUCAAGAAGUCUAUGUGGUAACAUUAAAAUACUACAUCCAGUUUAUUGUUCUUAUGUAAAGUUACAAUAAAUGCCUCAAUUUUCCUUAACCUACACACGUUUGCUAUUUUGGUUAAUCAAGGAAGGUGACCAGGAUGUUUUAUCCCAAAAGCCAAAUGUAACAACAGAUUUGAUUGGCUGUAUACAUAUGAUUGACAGGUAUGUAACAAUCAUAUUUUCACCAUAUAUUUGUUACAGGCUGAAUUCAAAAGCUUACAAUGAUGAAGAAUCUGUGGUUGUUAAAAAAAAAGAAUUUAUCUGCAACAAUCUUAUCAAAGGGAGAUACGUCUGUGAUGAGAUAGAACAAAGAAAUGUCAUCAAGUAUGAAAGACCAUUGAUAGUAAGCUGAACUGAAGGUUUUCUUCUUGUUUAAAGUUGUUUAUAGAGUACAAAAAACUAAGUUACAGUGUUUUUAAAGUGAUCAUUAUUUAAUAAAAUUGAGAAAGGAAAUGGGGAAUGUGUCAAAGAGAUAACAACUCGACCAUAGAGCAGACAAAAGCCAAAGGCUACCAAUGCGUCUUCAAUGCAGUGAGAAACUCCCGCAUCCGGAGGAGUCAUUCAGCUGGCCCCUUAACAAAUAUGUUACUAGUUAAGUGAUAAUGGACGUCAUACUAAACUUUGAAUUAUACACAAGAAACUAAAAUUAAAAAUCAUACAAGAUUAACAAAGGCCAGAGGCUCUUGACUUGGGACAGGCCCAAAAAUGCAUAACUCUCGAAUAAGAAAAGUACGAAGUUGAAGAGCAUUGAGGACCCAACUGAAAGGUUGUUCUGUGUGAUGAUUGCUUAUAGAGGAUAACAAAAAGUGUAGUUAAAGUGAUCAUUAUUUAGACAUAUAUUCUCAUUCAAUGUUAACAUAAUAAAUUAUAAUCUAAAUUUCAGAUUAUUUACUUUAAUAUCAACACACAAAGAAGAGUUUAGCAAAGUAGCAGUUUAUGUUGUAGCUGAUUAUGUUGAUCAUGUUCAUCAACAUACACUACUACCAGCUGUUAAGGUAAAAUUCUCACAAUGAUACAGUAUAUAUAUUUAUUCAGCACCUCAUUUUCAUCUACUGGUUCAUCUGAAAUUGUUGUUAAUGAUCAAGAAUUAAUUUUUAAUUAUAAAGAUAAUAUAUGAUUCAUGUAUAAAAUAAAUAGAAUAAAAGUUUUAUAGAUCUAUAUUGAAUUUCCUGCAACAUAAAACAGAAAUAUUUGUAUGAAAUAAUUAAAAUUAACCAUAGUAUUUUUUUUUUAAAUAUUGUUGAUGGAUUCUUAUAAUCUUCCAGUACAUACCAAUCAAUGCAGUAAAGAAGAUGAUAUUUUCAUUUUAUUAACUUUUUUUCAGAAAGCACUGGUUUCAGCAGUAUAUAAACUUUUAGAUAUCAGUGACAAGCAUGUACUAGCUCAGCUCCACACAGUACUGAAUCAGGGAGUUAAGGAGGUGUUUAAAGGACUUUAUAGUGACUAUUCAAACUUCUAUAAGUAUACUGGACGAGUGUAGGACUUUAUAGUGACUAUUCAAACUUCUAUAAGUAUACUGGAAGAGUGUAAUACACAAGAACUUUAUGUAUGAAUAAGUUAUACAUUACAUUGUACUUGAAUAGAUAACAUGCUUGGUAACUGUUCCUUGUCAUGAAGUAAAUUCCAGCAGUCAAAGAGAUCUGUUCUGACAUUGGAAAAAUGUUGACUGUUGAAGAUCAAUGGUGAUAGACGAAUUAAAGUAUAAAAGUACAAGUUUUUUGUGUUGAGGUUUAUCAUUCUAAGACUGAAAAAACUUUACAAUCCGUUUUGUUAUUACUUUAUUGUGUAAUUAAUAAAUUGUUGACCUCUUUAAUAACACUAGUCAGCAAGUAUUAAAUAACUGAUAGAU
rnacentral:lncRNA from 1 species